CUUCCAGCCGGCGAGGUACUUGUACCUCGUCGACCGGAAGGGCUUCCUUCCAGCCGGCGAGGUACUUGUACCUCGUCGACUGGAAG
rnacentral:miRNA from 1 species